UACAGAGGUCUCAAGCGUUGUUCGGAUUCAUUGGGCGUAAAGGGUGUGUAGGUGGCGCGCUAAGUCGGGUGUGAAAUUUCGGAGCUUAACUCCGAAACUGCAUUCGAUACUGGCGUGCUUGAGGACUGGAGAGGAGACUGGAAUUCAUGGUGUAGCAGUGAAAUGCGUAGAGAUCAUGAGGAAGACCAGUGGCGAAGGCGGGUCUCUGGACAGUUACUGACACUCAACUACGAAAGCGUGGGGAGCAAACAGG
rnacentral:rRNA from 1 species